rnacentral:misc_RNA from 1 species
GACUAUGCAAAAUGUAUGCAUCAACAACUUUCAACAAUCUUCACUGCGCGCAAUCCACAAUCCACAUGUCUAUGCUAGCAUGCCUAUCAAUACAAAAAGCUUGACUCAUAUAUACGAGAAAUGUUCCCUAACUAUGAUAGUUAAAUGGAUGGAAACAUGCAGUUCUAUUUGAGUUAUCAAAAAGGUGCCUGUGUCAAUACUUCAUCCAUUUUAGUCCAAUUAGUGAGCAUUUUCAAGCUUAAGUCUUAAUUCUUAAUCGAACUUCGUGUACCCAUGUGCGUGCAAAUGCUUUUGCAGUUAAUCACAGAUACCGGUUUGACAUAUGAUAUACCAUAUCUUAGACCAUCUAUGAUUAUAUUGUCUUCAAAAAAGCAUCAGAAGCUUUUCAAAGGAAAAUAGAUGUUGCUCUAUGAUAUCCAAUGUAAAAGUUGCACCGCUAUUUGGCAUCUAUAGAAAAAGAAGACGAAGAAGAAACUUUUCAUAUUUUCUAUUUAAAUCAUAAUAAGCGAUCAUGCGUGUUAUAUCCAUGUCAUUUUAAAAUUAAAAAAACAAAAGAGCUUCCUCCAUAAAACAGGAACAUUAGUGCUUUAAUCUUUGUUCACGGUUGGUAUGAGUUGCACACCUUCAGACUUGGCCUAGAACUGAGAUAUGUCGGCUACAGCGAGAUAAUCAUUUGAGUGAUUCAUCGUUUUUCCACCACUCCCUCCCUGCCUUUUUCGGUGGGGAUUGGAGGGAAGUGGUGCUGGGUUUAGGUGGAGGAAUACACUCUCAAUGUGUGAAAUGUGCAUAAUGAGUUAAAUUAAUUCGAUGGAUCUCCCAAGACUCGACUUUGUUAUUUACCUUGUUUCCCCUUCCAAUGUAUUUUCUUGCCUUACCUCAAAUUAUCUGAAACUCAAACAUGCACAAGGGAGAAGGUUGAGUACAUGUCAGCUUACAAUAAUAUUUUUUUUUUAAGGGGGAAAUACAUCCUCAAAUAUGAGUUUGUGUGCUUAUGUCUGUCAAUUUGUUUCCACAUCGUCUGAGUCUGUGUUGAUGCUAAACUCAUUAGCGAAUCACAGUCAAGAAUGCCCAGUCCCAAAAAUACAAUAGAAUAGAUCACUUACUCCAUGUGUUGAAUUUGAUACGUCCCAGAUAUGUUGUAAGGUCAAACCGUUGUAAGGUCAAACCAUAUUGCACCCAUAGAAGACCAUAAAAAUCAGUAUAUAACACAACUAGUAGUUAAUCCCAAUCUGUACGUAUCAUUCAUUCAAAUUGUGCAGUGCAGUUUCAGUAAAUUCUGUAUUCCUUUAUCAAGGAAAGAGAAUCUUAGAAAAAAUAAUGAAUAUCAAAAAAGGAUCUCACUUCUAUUGGAGAGGAAAAUAAAAUAAAUAACAAAAAUGAUCCCGCUUCUAUUAGAGAGGGGAGGGAUAUUUUUUAAAAAAAGGAUUUUUGCUGAAGAAAGAAAAAAAAAAAACCUAAAAAGCAA